UGGCCUACGGGGCGCAGCAGUAGGGAAUCUUCCACAAUGGGCGAAAGCCUGAUGGAGCAACGCCGCGUGGGUGAAGAAGGUCUUCGGAUCGUAAAACCCUGUUGUUAGAGAAGAAAGUGCGUGAGAGUAACUGUUCACGUUUCGACGGUAUCUAACCAGAAAGCCACGGCUAACUACGUGCCAGCAGCCGCGGUAAUACGUAGGGGGCGAGCGUUAUCCGGAUUUAUUGGGCGUAAAGCGUGCGUAGGCGGCUUGUUAAGUCCAGAAUUAAAGCCCGAGGCUUAACCUCGGUUCGUUCUGGAUAC
rnacentral:rRNA from 1 species